rnacentral:rRNA from 1 species
UAAUCCGACCUAGGCUCAUCCAUCGACGCGAGGUCUUGCGACCCCCGCUUUCCCCCGAAGGGCGUAUGCGGUAUUAGCCAAUCUUUCGACUGGUUAUUCCCCAUCAUUGGGCAGAUUCCGAAGCAUUGCUCACCCGUUCGCCGCUCGUCAGCACGUAUUGCUACGCCUGUUACCGCCCGACUUGCAUGUGUUAGGCACGCCGCAGCGUUCAAUCUGAGCCAGGAUCAAACUCU